CUUCUCUCCCAGAAUUAUUCUCUCUUUUGGUCUCACAGGAAAAAAAGCUGUCUUGUUCCACAUCCAUGCAAGUUUUUUGUUCGUAAUUCAUGUCAGGAGGCAUUUUUCUAUUUGGACACUAAUAUGUCUUGCAGGUUCAAAGUACAUAGUCUGUCAGAUACAUGUCAUGUCAGGAGCCUCAAGAAAGUGGUCUUAAUCUGUGCAGACUUUAGAAGGGUAACAAAUUGGUGAGAAGAUGAGGACUGACAUAUUGUUUUGGAAAGGCAUGAAAAUGUGUGGGUAUGAUGCAGCCAUAUGUGAGAGAAGGAAAUGGGACGCAAUCAAAGGAUUAGGAGAAAUGAAGCAGGCAUUUUUAAGGAAGAGGAGAGAAUUUGUG
rnacentral:lncRNA from 1 species